CCGCAUAAGACCACAGCACCGCAUGGUGCAGGGGUAAAAACUCCGGUGGUACAGGAUGGACCCGCGUCUGAUUAACUGGUUGGUGAGGUAACGGCUCACCAAGGCGACGAUCAGUAGCCGGCUUGAGAGAGUGAACGGCCACAUUGGGACUGAGACACGGCCCAAACUCCUACGGGAGGCAGCAGUGGGGAAUAUUGCACAAUGGGGGGAACCCUGAUGCAGCGACGCCGCGUGAGUGAAGAAGUAUUUCGGUAUGUAAAGCUCUAUCAGCAGGGAAGAAAAUGACGGUACCUGACUAAGAAGCCCCGGCUAACUACGUGCCAGCAGCCGCGGUAAUACGUAGGGGGCAAGCGUUAUCCGGAAUUACUGGGUGUAAAGGGUGCGUAGGUGGUAUGGCAAGUCAGAAGUGAAAACCCAGGGCUUAACUCUGGGACUGCUUUUGAAACUGUCAGACUGGAGUGCAGGAGAGGUAAGCGGAAUUCCUAGUGUAGCGGUGAAAUGCGUAGAUAUUAGGAGGAACAUCAGUGGCGAAGGCGGCUUACUGGACUGAAACUGACACUGAGGCACGAAAGCGUGGGGAGCAAACAGGAUUAGAUACCCUGGUAGUCCACGCCGU
rnacentral:rRNA from 1 species